AAGAGCCAUUUUACAUUUUCGUGCGAAUUUCUAAGAUUUUGGAAGCAUGAAUUACUAUCUUAAGCAACACCCAGAGAUUAUUUAAUAACUGCGAAAGAUAGGUCAAUCCUUGGUGUUGACCAUUAAUGAAACGGAUUUACUAAAACUCUUUUGCUUAAUUCACAGUGCCCCAUCUCCCACAACCAUUUUACGGAAAAAUUGCCGCAGACUCAUUUUCAAAGUCCUGUAUCUAUUAUUUAUGCUCAUAUAAUAAGCUUAAAAAUAUAUAGUAAUCAUCGGACAUAUAUUCUUGUAGUCCAUUAAUGAAAUAAAUUCUCGAAUUUCAUUACCAUUAUUGAGUAAAAUCUAAAAAUAAUUUGGCAAAUUUGAAGAAUAACGUCACAUUUUGAUCGUGGUUUUUGGUUUAAAAACACAGCAAUAACUGCAAUAAAAGUAUCCCAAAAUAAAGAAUAUUCAUUGUAGAAUUGAUUUCUAUAGUUAUUGUUUAAAUAUUAGUAACCACUUUGUCAAAAUAUUGAUGUGAAUAUCAGUAUAAAUUACAAUGCGCAAGCCGACAUCGAUUAGUAUGGCGCGAGCGCCCGUCAAGGCAGGACCUGUGUCAUUUUUCCCGCCGUGACGUUUACGUGCAUUCGUGUCGUAAAGCGGUGAUUUGUACGGCGACCAAAUACAUUUGAUACUAUGCCGAGAGGCUGUUUCGAGUCGGCCGGCCGAGCAGAAAUUGAAAUGGUGAAUUUUAAUUUCUUUGACGGAUCUGGGUGUAACCAUGUAUAAUAUCUCUGUCUGAUAAUGGAUCUGGAGGAAAUGCAAUGGCCACCUCCGUAACAAAAAAAUAGAACCCUAUGGAGUUUGGGCUUGUGUGAUUCGCCUUGACGAAUAUUUCGUAUCCAGGGUCCGAUGAUGGAGCUGUAAAGGGGCAGAUUUUUUUUCACUAUGUGACUGUCUUUAUUUUGUACUUAAUAUAUAUUUUACAUAUUAUA